rnacentral:rRNA from 1 species
GUAGUCAUAUGCUUGUCUCAAAGAUUAAGCCAUGCAUGUCUAAGUAUAAACACGUUAUACUGUGAAACUGCGAAUGGCUCAUUAAAUCAGUUAUAGUUUAUUUGAUGGUUUUUGCUACAUGGAUAACUGUGGUAAUUCUAGAGCUAAUACAUGCGUACAAGCCCCGACUUCUGGAAGGGGUGUAUUUAUUAGAUAAAAAUCAACACUGUUGGUGAAUCAUGAUAACUUCUCGGAUCGCAUGGCCUCGUGCUGGCGAUACUUCAUUCAAAUAUCUGCCCUAUCAACUGUCGAUGGUAGGAUAGAGGCCUACCAUGGUUGCAACGGGUAACGGGAAUA